rnacentral:lncRNA from 1 species
CUUCUGAUUUAUCAUUAUAGAUUAUAUAUGUAUUAUUUAAUUCUUGUUUUAUGCAUGCUUCAUUUAUGUUUUCUCAGAUAUAUAUGAAAAAUAAUCUCACCUGUCAGAGAUAUACAAAUAUUUUCAUAAAUACACAAUUUGAAAAAAAAAAAAUGAAAAUUAUCAUUUGCAAAGUGAAGUGCAAGUUUGGACACUGUAUUCAUAAGAUAGCCAUAAAUUUGAGUUUGAUUUUGCAAUUGUUUUCUGCAAAAAAAAUCACAAAAUGAAAAAUGAAUUGAAUCACAAUCAUACAAAUACAGGCCAGCUUGAGCAGAACUUGAAGAAAGUAUCAAGCAGAAGAAAUAACAAUGAUUUAAUAUUGCUGCUUUAGUAACAUGAAUAUGCA